rnacentral:rRNA from 1 species
UACGGGGGGGGCAAGCGUUGUUCGGAAUUACUGGGCGUAAAGGGCUCGUAGGCGGCCAACUAAGUCCGACGUGAAAUCCCAAGGCUUAACCUUGGAACUGCGUCGGAUACUGGAUGGCUUGAAUUCGGGAGAGGGAUGCAGAAUUCCAGGUGUAGCGGUGAAAUGCGCAGAUAUCAGGAGGAACACCGGUGGCGAAGGCGGUUCUCUGGGAAUGACCUGACGCUGAGGAGCGAAAGCGUGGGGAGCAAACAGG